rnacentral:rRNA from 1 species
GAUGAACGCUGGCGGCGUGCCUAAUACAUGCAAGUCGAGCGAACAGACGAGGAGCUUGCUCCUCUGACGUUAGCGGCGGACGGGUGAGUAACACGUGGAUAACCUACCUAUAAGACUAGGAUAACUUCGGGAAACCGGAGCUAAUACCGGAUAAUAUAUUGAACCGCAUGGUUCAAUAGUGAAAGAUGGUUUUGCUGUCACUUAUAGAUGGUUCCGCGCCGCAUUAGCUAGUUGGUAAGGUAACGGCUUACCAAGGCAACGAUGCAUAGCCGACCUGAGAGGGUGAUCGGCCACACUGGAACUGAGACACGGUCCAGACUCCUACGGGAGGCAGCAGUAGGGAAUCUUCCGCAAUGGGCGAAAGCCUGACGGAGCAACGCCGCGUGAGUGAUGAAGGUCUUCGGAUCGUAAAACUCUGUUAUUAGGGAAGAACAAAUGUGUAAGUAACUAUGCACGUCUUGACGGUACCUAAUCAGAAAGCCACGGCUAACUACGUG